GACGAACGCUGGCGGCGUGCUUAACACAUGCAAGUCGAGCGGAAAGGCCCUUCGGGGUCCUCGAGCGGCGAACGGGUGAGUAACACGUGAGUAAUCUGCCCUUGGCUUUGGGAUAACUACCGGAAACGGUGGCUAAUACCGGAUACGACAACCGUCUGCAUGGGCUGGUUGUGGAAAGUUUUUUCGGCCAGGGAUGUGCUCGCGGCCUAUCAGCUUGUUGGUGGGGUAAUGGCCUACCAAGGCUUCGACGGGUAGCCGGCCUGAGAGGGUGACCGGCCACACUGGGACUGAGACACGGCCCAGACUCCUACGGGAGGCAGCAGGGGGGAAUAUUGGACAAUGGGCGGAAGCCUGAUCCAGCAACGCCGCGUGAGGGAUGACGGCCUUCGGGUUGUAAACCUCUUUCAGUACCGACGAAGCGCCGAUGAUGGUGGUGACGGUAGGUACAGAAGAAGCACCGGCCAACUACGUG
rnacentral:rRNA from 1 species